rnacentral:rRNA from 1 species
CGUAGGGCGCAAGCGUUAUCCGGAAUUAUUGGGCGUAAAGCGUGCGCAGGCGGUUUUGUAAGACAGGCGUGAAAUCCCCGGGCUCAACCUGGGAACUGCGCUUGUGACUGCAAGGCUAGAGUACGGCAGAGGGGGUGGAAUUCCACGUGUAGCAGUGAAAUGCGUAGAGAUGUGGAGGAACACCAAUGGCGAAGGCAGCCCCCUGGGUCGAUACUGACGCUCAUGCACGAAAGCGUGGGUAGCAAACAGGAUUAGAUACCCUGGUAGUCCACGCCUAAACGAUGUCAACUAGGUGUUGGGUGGGUAAAACCAUUUAGUACCGGAGCUAACGCAUGAAGUUGACCGCCUGGGGAGUACGGCCGCAAGGUUA